CGGACGGGUGAGUAAUGUCUGGGAAACUGCCUGAUGGAGGGGGAUAACUACUGGAAACGGUAGCUAAUACCGCAUAACGUCGCAAGACCAAAGAGGGGGACCUUAGGGCCUCUUGCCAUCGGAUGUGCCCAGACGGGAUUAGCUAGUAGGUGGGGUAACGGCUCACCUAGGCGACGAUCCCUAGCUGGUCUGAGAGGAUGACCAGCCACACUGGAACUGAGACACGGUCCAG
rnacentral:rRNA from 1 species